AUAUUACAUAAUUGAAAUACGAAAAUUUAGUUUACGUAGACGAUAGAAAUUAAUUUGACAUGAUUUUACAUAAACACGAGUAUAAUAUAAUAUAUGCAUGUAUAUUCUUGGAUAUGCUUUUAUAUAAAUAUGCAAAAUAUGUACUAUUAGGUUUGAAUAUCGACUUCCAUUUCGACCCGAAUAGUCAAAUACCAAUCCAGUUCAACACACGUUAUCCGAGCAUUCGAUGUCAGCACACAAGCCCAUUGUACUCGAUGGGAGAAGGGUUAACACCGGAAGAACAAGUUCUCCCUAUUCCAAUCUCUUUGCCUAUUGUCACAAUCCGUGUCGGCCCAAAGACGAUCGAUUCUCAUGCUUUAAAGCGAGGGAAAAAGCUUAUGAACAACAGUGAGAAGGUCUCGUAACUCUUUCCAUUCUCUCGUCUCGAAAAGUGCGAGUUUCCAAGACGUUUUCCACGUCUAGAAACACGAGGCUAGAUCGGAGCCAACGAUCAAGAAGAAACUGGCACGAGUCUUGGGACAUAAUUCUCAUCCCAGUAUACCCUUUUGCGGUGACAGCGAGAAGAGGAGGUGGGGAAUACGUCGGAACCCGAUCAGAAAUCGGAAUCCCGUGGAAAGGAGGUUCCAUUAGCGAGAACGGAUUUCGAGGAAAGGAUUUCUCUGAAUCCUCGCCGUUCUAUUAAUGUCACAUCCAUCGCCGUCGGGGACUGGCGAAAAGAGGAAUAAAGGGAGGAAGAGUUGGAAAAGAAGAAAGAGUGAAACGUACACGGUUGAAUAUGGGCAUUGUGCGAAGAUGACUUGGCUAGGAAGAAAUGUGUGAUUCUGAUUGGUUGAUCCUGAUAUAUUUAUGAUAAUAGGUAUCAAUAUUCAGGUAUAUUGGUUAAAUUAUAUUUAUUGGUAAGAUUAUAUAAUAUGAGGUGAGUCUAAAAAAUAAUUAGAAUUUUUUUUUUUAUUAAAUUUUGCUAUUGUAUCUAGAUAUAUGUGGCUUGAUACAAGAAAUAUCAUGUGUUUCAAAAAAAUCAAUUAAUUAGUAUUGAUAUAAACAAUUGUAUAUUAUGUAUAAAAAAACAAUUUUAAAUUCUAUCUAGAAAUGUUUAUAAUGGGAUUUUUAUAAUAUUAUAUGA